rnacentral:rRNA from 1 species
AGAGUUUGAUCAUGGCUCAGAUUGAACGCUGGCGGCAUGCCUUACACAUGCAAGUCGAACGGUAACAGGUCUUUCGGGAUGCUGACGAGUGGCGAACGGGUGAGUAAUACAUCGGAACGUGCCUAGUAGUGGGGGAUAACUACUCGAAAGAGUGGCUAAUACCGCAUGAGAUCUAUGGAUGAAAGCAGGGGACCUUCGGGCCUUGUGCUACUAGAGCGGCCGAUGGCAGAUUAGGUAGUUGGUGGGAUAAAAGCUUACCAAGCCUACGAUCUGUAGCUGGUCUGAGAGGACGAUCAGCCACACUGGGACUGAGACACGGCCCAGACUCCUACGGGAGGCAGCAGUGGGGAAUUUUGGACAAUGGGCGCAAGCCUGAUCCAGCAAUGGCCGCGUGCAGGAUGAAGGCCUUCGGGUUGUAAACUGCUUUUGUACGGAACGAAAAGUCUUGGGUUAAUACCCUGGGAUCAUGACGGUACCGUAAGAAUAAGCACCGGCUAACUACGUGCCAGCAGCCGCGGUAAUACGUAGGGUGCAAGCGUUAAUCGGAAUUACUGGGCGUAAAGCGUGCGCAGGCGGUUUUGUAAGACAGUGGUGAAAUCCCCGGGCUCAACCUGGGAACUGCCAUUGUGACUGCAAGGCUGGAGUGCGGCAGAGGGGGAUGGAAUUCCGCGUGUAGCAGUGAAAUGCGUAGAUAUGCGGAGGAACACCGAUGGCGAAGGCAAUCCCCUGGGCCUGCACUGACGCUCAUGCACGAAAGCGUGGGGAGCAAACAGGAUUAGA